rnacentral:antisense_RNA from 1 species
CAAUUCUACAUCUGGACUUUAUCCUACAAAUUUUCCUGCGUGUGUAUGAAAAAGGGAAAGAUUGGAAACAACUCAAGUGUCCUUCCACAGGGGACUCUGGUUAAAUGAAGUGCGGAAUCCCUGCUGUGAACACCAGCCUUCCAUAAUGGACAGAGGCAGCCCUUCUCUACGCAUCAGAAAUAACCCAAGAUAGAGGAAGCUCUCUUGGUACCCAUCAGAAAUAUCCCCAGACAGAGGGAGCCCUCUGCGUGUCAAUCAGAAGUGUGUCCAGACAGAACUUUUCAUCUUUCAUCGAACAAAUCUAUUUAUGGUGGCUUCUUUUAGCAGUUCUUCUACCUGAUCCCUGCUGCCACUGCUUGGUUAUUUUCUGGUAUAUCUGCCUAUAGAGUAAUCUUCAGAAAUAUUGCCUUGUGGUAAUUCUUGGACCCCAUAGAAGCGUGAUGAAAAACAAAGAGACUGGAUGCCGAAACGAACUACAGUGAUCACAGAACAGGAGUUUUGGACAUAACAACUUGUGACAGUUUGUUUUCUUCUAGCAUUUUCCUACAAACACCAAGCCCCUUCAGCGUGUUACUGUGGAGGAAGCACGCUGGCACAGUGAACUCCACACCCUCUCCCAGCAAAUCCUGGGUCCUUCAGGGACUCCAGUGGCCCCUGGGAACCCGUUCACACUGCUUGAGUUUUCUCCAGAAUCCAGUCCACGUACUCAACCACGUUGGUGUAAACGCCUGGCCGCUCCCUUUGAGCACAGCCUUCGCCCCAGCUCGUGAUGCCUACCAGAUGCCAGACCUCAUUGUGUUUGCAGGACAGAGGGCCUCCCGAAUCUCCCUAGAACGAGGGGAGACAAGAAAAGGUUCAGCACGAUAUCGCACACAUGCCAGGAUGAGGGGGCGACAGAGAGACAAGCCUCACCCUCACCGCUAACUCCUCAUCCAACUCAGUUUUGAUCCUGCACAAGUUGCUUAAUUGUUCUAACCUUCAAUCCUUCAUCCCUAAAUUAUCUUUACUAAAUUAUCUUUAGACUAAAUUAUCU